GUUAGGAGGGAAUGGAUUUUGUACAUACAUAUUAGGCGAGAGGGUGAAAUUUUCAAUCACCAAUAGACGAGAAAAAAAAUAAGAGAGAAAGAGGAGAGUGGAGGGAGACAGUGCGUGGGAGCAGGGAAAGAUUCCGUGGUAGAAAUAUUCAAAGCCUCAGCUGGUUUUUCUUUCUCUUCUUCUCCCCAUUAACCUGCAUUCAAUUUGUCUGUUAUAUUUUGAUUUUGAAAACCCUAGAUCUCCCGAUCCUCUCAUUCUUUUCAAUCGCUCUUCCUUCUCUUACCUGAAUCUUCAAAGGAAUAAAGGUUUCCAUCUCUCACUUGUUUCUCUUGGAAGCCCAUCUGCUUUUGUUCCCUUUUGAUUUCACCAUUAAAUCGUUGCUGUCUCCAGUUGCGAUGAAGUGAAUUUCUUGGAAAUUUUAGAUGGCUUCAUCCUUGGUGUAUUAUUUCCCAUUUAAUAUAUGGUUCUACUCACCUUUUCUAGUUUCAGGUUUUAUUUAUGCAUCCUUGCGUUGGGAACAAUCUUCGUUUAGGUCGUAAGAUUGUUGGGGUUCAUUUGGAGAGAUCUCUCUUGAUACAGAGCAGAAGGUGACUUGGAUAAGAGGAGCUAUUUGAAGGAAGCUGCUGCCUUUGAAAAACUAAUAGCCCCUUCGGAAUUCCACCAGAAAGUUGAUGACUAGAAAAAAGAGAAUUUCCAGACAACAACCCCUUCAAGAAAAGAAAAGUUGAUUUUCUGGAACAAAUGCAAACCACCACUGAACAACCUUCAAAGGUGAUGGGUACUGAAGAAUCAGAUAAGGUUAUAUAGAAAGGAGAGUUUCUCAAAAAACCAUUCAAGAAAGAACUUGAUUCUCAGUUGGAGCAGAGGCAGACAACCAGAGUUUCUCAAAAACUUAUUCAAGAAAGUAUAGUUUCUCAAAAACCCAUUCAAGAAAGUAAAACUAGAUUCUUAGUUGGAGCAGAGACAGACAACCACUAAACAAGUUUCAGAGGUGAUAGAUGUAGAUGACUUGGAUGAGAUGAGUGCUACCCCAGAAUCCCAAAAGACCGUAAAGGCUAAGCCAGUGACUGGUCAUCCCUAAUAAGACAAAAUGACAUAAGAAGAGAUUAAAUAGUAAGAUGAGUUGCAAGAGUUCUGAGUGUAGGAAUAAUAGCACUCUUACUUUCUUUACUCGAUUGUAGUAAUUAUUCACCAAUUUUUAUGGGUAUUUUACAUCAGUUUUGACAUUGAUUUUAUGUAUAGCUUCACUGAAGCUUCACCA